CCCCCACCCCGGACAACCCUGCCUGCAGGAUAGACUCUGUCCUCUGCACCUAAUAGCUGAAUUGUCAUCAUCAACAUUGUUCAUGAUCUGGAAACAUUUCUUCCUUCCGUUUCACCCUGGCUUGCGUCAGCAAUCAGGAUUUUGUCCAAGUGGACAGGAGGGGCUCGAACAGCAAGAUGAAGAAACAAAGAUUCACGAGGAUCCGGCUCUCCUGCAACUAUUCCAGCAUGGUACCCACAAGAGAUGUUAUGUUCCAUCACUGGUGUCACCUGUGCAGUUGCCUCUGGGAGGUUUGCUGAGGAUAACACAACUGGCCACUUAGUCUGACAAAGUUAAGAGUGAUAGGUGCUCAGUCUGCUCAGCUCAUUAUAUGGUGGUGUGUUCAGAGGAAAGACCUAUCACCCAUAUGCUGUCUGCCACACACAAUUUCUGAUGUCAUCAAGUCAUUGAAGUGCUUUCUGCACUGGAUGCAAGUCCACUUGAUGACUUCCCACACCAUCACCACCUCCAUCUAUGACCUUUUGCUCCCUCUAGAGGAUUUCCCAAACUUCAGAAAUGGAACAUCUCUCCUGUUAGACAUUACAAUGGUUAAGACCUCAAGUGAGACAACUGAAAAUUAUGAAGCCACUCAGUGAUGCCCCUGAGGCCACAAGCCCUUCCUUCAUUGAACAGUAAAUCCUAUCCUUGCCAGCAGUCACAUUUCCAAAGAACCCAUAUUCCUAAAUCCUGCCUUUAGGCCAUUGUCAGUACUGCUAAUUGGGCAUGGAAUCACACUUUAGACACAUUACAUUGAGCUUUGAUGUUGAUACGGUGCAGGCCCAUCAAGUUCCUGCUUUAUCUUGAAAAUCCAGGCCCAAACAUGGAUUAUCAAACUGCCAGUAAGGCUUGGAAAUAACACAUAAUGCUAACAAAUUGGAACUCUGCAAAGAGGUAAAAACUUAUCAAAAUAUUGAACGCACUAAGGAUUUCUUUUUUAUCAUCAAGUUGGCAGAGUAGAUUGAUUGUUAGCAAUACACUUACCAUUUUGUGUGAAAUCAGCAAUCCUCCUCAAUUUUGUUACUGGAUGUUACUGUUCAAGUGUCUGAAUGAAAUUUCUAUGUGAGUUAUUGGGACAGCAUUUAGUUUUUGUCUCCAGAUCAAAAUACAAUUUGCUGGAAGUUGUUCAAUGUCAAGCGAUCCUAAUUCUUAGCAGUGGGUGGGUGUAAAAUGGAUGAAAUAGCAUUUUAUACUUUAAAGUGGCAUAUAAAUUGAUAUUGUCUGACUGAA